rnacentral:lncRNA from 1 species
AUAAAUUAGAUGCAUGGUUAUACCAUCAUUGUGACAUGUGAACAAAUUAAAGAAAACGUUUAGGCCUAGCUUCCCAAACUGAUCAUUAUCAUUUUCAAUUCACCAUUCUCCAACAAUCUGCAUUUAACACGCGACACACCACACCAGUCCUCCAAGGUCAAAAGGUCACGAAAGGAAUACGAAACAGAAAAAAGAGAUUAUUUUUAUAUAAUUUAUUUUCUAAACAAUUCCUUAGACGCAAUACCUUAUUGGUUUAAAAUAAAAAAUUGUAAAUUCCCCAUUCGCAUAUGCAAAAUAUGCUAAAAAAAUUAAUUUACAUUUCUUUUUUGUCAAGUGAUAGAUUUUGUUAGAUUAGUCACC